GAUGAACGCUGGCGGCGUGCCUAAUACAUGCAAGUCGAGCGAAUGGAUUAAGAGCUUGCUCUUAUGAAGUUAGCGGCGGACGGGUGAGUAACACGUGGGUAACCUGCCCAUAAGACUGGGAUAACUCCGGGAAACCGGGGCUAAUACCGGAUAAUAUUUUGAACUGCAUGGUUCAAAAUUGAAAGGCGGCUUCGGCUGUCACUUAUGGAUGGACCCGCGUCGCAUUAGCUAGUUGGUGAGGUAACGGCUCACCAAGGCAACGAUGCGUAGCCGACCUGGGAGGGGGAUCGGCCACACGGGGACUGGGACACGGCCCAGACGCCUACGGGAGGCAGCAGUAGGGAAUCUUCCGCAAUGGACGAAAGUCUGACGGAGCAACGCCGCGUGAGUGAUGAAGGCUUUCGGGUCGUAAAACUCUGUUGUUAGGGAAGAACAAGUGCUAGUUGAAUAAGCUGGCACCUUGACGGUACCUAACCAGAAAGCCACGGCUAACUACGUGCCAGCCGCCGCGGUAA
rnacentral:rRNA from 1 species